rnacentral:rRNA from 1 species
CCCUUAGAUGUUCUGGGCCGCACGCGCGCUACACUGAUGCAUUCAACGAGUCUAAAACCUGCUCUGAUAGGGGUGGGUAAUCUUUUGAAUGUGCAUCGUGAUUGGGAUAGACGAUUGCAAUUUUUCAUCUUCAACGAGGAAUGCCUAGUAAACGCAAGUCAUCAGCUUGCAUUGAUUACGUCCCUGCCCUUUGUACACACCGCCCGUCGCUCCUACCGAUUGAAUGAUCCGAUGAAUAUCAUGGAUUGAGGAUUAUAGCAGGUUCGCCUGUCUUGAUCUUCGAGAAGUGAAGUAAAUCUUAUCAUUUAGAGGAAGGAGAAGUCGUAACA